GGGGAUAUAGCUCAGUAGAGUGCUUGCCUGGCAUGCACAAGGCCCUGGGUUCAAUCCCCAACACCACCA
rfam:Ictidomys tridecemlineatus contig078114, whole genome shotgun sequence.